GAUGAACGCUGGCGGCGUGCCUAAUACAUGCAAGUCGAGCGAACAGACGAGGAGCUUGCUCCUCUGACGUUAGCGGCGGACGGGUGAGUAACACGUGGAUAACCUACCUAUAAGACUGGGAUAACUUCGGGAAACCGGAGCUAAUACCGGAUAAUAUAUUGAACCGCAUGGUUCAAUAGUGAAAGACGGUUUUGCUGUCACUUAUAGAUGGAUCCGCGCCGCAUUAGCUAGUUGGUAAGGUAACGGCUUACCAAGGCAACGAUGCGUAGCCGACCUGAGAGGGUGAUCGGCCACACUGGAACUGAGACACGGUCCAGACUCCUACGGGAGGCAGCAGUAGGGAAUCUUCUGCAAUGGGCGAAAGCCUGACGGAGCAACGCCGCGUGAGUGAUGAAGGUCUUCGGAUCGUAAAACUCUGUUAUUAGGGAAGAACAAAUGUGUAAGUAACUAUGCACGUCUUGACGGUACCUAAUCAGAAAGUCACGGCUAACUACGUG
rnacentral:rRNA from 1 species